AGGCUGUGGACAGGGUUUAAUUGGCUCAUCACUUGGCAAAGGUUGAGAAUCCCUGGUUGAGACUAAUUAAGUAGAAAGAGAUUUAAAGUCUUACGUAAUGUUAAACCCUUUCCUGCCUAGGAAGAAAAUGCCGCCUCUGUGCUAGAUAGACAGCGGUUCAGAAGAUCCAGUUUAAACUGAGGCAACAAGGGCUCUAGAACCUUAGUAUCUGCCCAUAGACCAAGCAACGCUUCUUUCUCAUUCUCCUGACAGUUCGGUUAAUUUUCCCAGCUGGCUUCCUCACCAUGUAUAAGAGGGUGAAGAAGACACGGCCACCACUCUAGCCAGAGAAGAAAUGUGUCACCUUAACCAGAUUUAUCUGUUCUGUGUAAUUGUAGGAUUUAAGUUAGUUUUUAAUGAAGUAUUACUUUUAUGAGAUUUUAGGCAAAAGCCCAAUGUAUAGCAAAAAAAAAAAAAAAUGUAAAUAAUCCAGCCUCUCCUCUCAUGUCCUGUAGCAUAUUCUUGGUCAGAUAACUAAUAAAACAUAGAUAUUUUCAAAAUUGUCACGGUCCUUAUACUUGCAAGUUGUAUUUCUUAGAACUUUUAGAAGGCAUGCUGUUUUUACUUAAUGCAAAUUAAACUACUUUAUUUUGAAAGA